rnacentral:tRNA from 1 species
UGGAGGAGUGUCCGAGUGGCUUAAGGAGCACGCUUGGAAAGCGUGUGUUGCGUUUCGGCGUACCGUGAGUUCGAAUCUCACCUCCUCCGUC